AGCAGUGUGGCUUAGUGGUUUAAGUGUUGGACUAUGACUGGAGGCUAGGGUUCGAUUCCCAGCUCAGCCA